CCAUCAAAGUCCCUCGGUGGCGUAGUAGGUAGAGCCGCGGACCUCCGUUCACGAGGUACUCGGUUCAAACCCAGCUGCAGAGGCAAGCUUGUGCGUGUAAUUAAAAAAUCUUUCGUGCAAUUAUCAACAUUACACGCCAAGUACCGGGGGACUACCAGUUUAGCCGAGCUAACAGAUAAUGCACGCCAUCUGUUAGCAGAAUCAAAAAAGCUGAAACUGGUUCGAGCGUCUAUAGAGGUCAACACUGAGGAGCUCAGGGUCUCUAAACUACCCGGCUAGCUCCAAGGUGCUUGUGUAGAUGUCACUAGAAAGCAACGGGAAACUACUAGUGGAAGCUCGAAACAACGUCGAUUCCCCAGAAUAAUCGCAGUGGCAAUAGGCAUUCGCCUCACCCUGUAAGGGUACCACAAAAAUGCGAUUUCCAAUGUCCUGUAAAGGACAAGGAACCACGACGACGACGUAUGUACCAUCAACAGUCAGGUUUCCCACUCACAAUCAGAUUGAGGGAAGUUCUGGUUUUCCUUGUCUCAAUUCAAGAAGUCUACAUAACAUGUUGGGUUGGGGCUACUUUGGAACAAACUGCGACCGACUUAUCUUUCGCCGUAUAUUCUACACCGUGGUAUUGGUUGAAAAGCAUUCGCAAAGACGUUUACAUACUUCUAUGCCAAACACAAGCAGAAAUCAAUCCGCGAGCCUUGAAUGUUUAUCCACUCACAUUGGCAACAUUUCUGCGAUUUUGCAACGUUAUCAAUUCCACAGUGAAUGUUUUUCGAGCAUACACACGAAAAUAAUCAAUAUAAGGAAAUCACUUUGUCCAGAACACCAACAAUUGCAACAAUGUGCCGGAGAUAAAUAUGGGAACAGCAGAAGAAGCUCACCAAGCAACGGAGAAAAAAUUAAACAACCUCACCAAAAAAACAUUCGUGGUCCAGAAUAUUAUUAAUUUCACCUGUUUGAAAGAAUGCACUCAGUAUACAUAUGUAUAGAUAAGUAUAGGAACACUAUGUAGCUAUAAAAAAAUUAAUAUGAGCUGGCAACUACAAUUACCUACAUAU